ensembl:lncRNA
GUACAAAGUUCCACGUCGUCAUCAGUCUGGGUACUUGUUCCCUUUUCCUGGUUCUGCUAGCUGGGUGUGUGCUGGGUGUUCUCCAACGCAAGUGUGAAGCCCACCUGAACAGCAAGACCAAAACCCACCAUGUGUCUAUUCUGUCAUCACAAAGCCUUCUAGGGAUGAGGAAGAGGACACUAGUCUGCAAUACGCUACAGUGACAUAUACCGGUGACCAAGCUAGUCGUCAAUAUGCAACAGUGACAUCUACCGGUAACCAAGUUGAACCUGGGCGCACCGAGAUCAAGUUUGAAAUAGCUGGAGAGUACGCCCUCUUAGCAGAAUCAUAGAAGAAGAAACAUUUACUGGAUAACAUGUUUUGCCAUAGUUUACAGUUACAAUCCUAUAUUUAGUUUUCAUAUUGGAUCAUAAUUUACUCAUAGUACAAAAACAAAUCCUGCCACAACAUCAAAGACUAAAGAUACUGUAUCUACUCCUUUCUGAAAACAAGC